rnacentral:lncRNA from 1 species
CCUUCUGUUCGGUAGAGCGUUGCCGAACAGAAGGCUUCUGUUCGGCACUGUUCAGCCGAACAGAAGCCUUGUGUUCGGCGAUCCAGUGCCGAACGGAGCACGAACCGCGAAAAAAAAAAAUUUCGAAAUAAGGUGGAACACGUACCUUUGCGGCCGAUUCUUCGUCCCAAAUCACUAGUUGCUUGUCCAUGCUUCGAAUGGGGCUUAAAUCUCCUUCAAAGAUCGCCUAAACGAUGUAAAUGGAUCGAGGGGUUUAAGGGGGGUUUGAGGGGUGUUUUUUUUUUUCUUUUCAAAACGAAACGGAGGAGGAGGAAGGGGGGGUGUACUGAGAAAAUUUCAAGGGCAAUAUGGUAAUUACACUAAAGGUUAGUUUGGGUAUUUUUUUUUUGGUUUUUGGGGGGUGUCCUUAGCAAUAGGGGGGGUGUAUAUAGAACCCCCC